CCUACGGGUGGCAGCAGUGGGGAAUAUUGCACAAUGGGGGGAACCCUGAUGCAGCGACGCCGCGUGAGCGAAGGAGCAUUUCGGUAUGUAAAGCUCUAUCAGCAGGGAAGAAAAUGACGGUACCUGACUAAGAAGCCCCGGCUAACUACGUGCCAGCAGCCGCGGUAAUACGUAGGGGGCAAGCGUUAUCCGGAUUUACUGGGUGUAAAGGGGGCGUAGACGGUCCUGCAAGCCAGGUGUGAAAGCCCGGGGCCCAACCCCGGGACUGCCUUUGAAACUGUAAGGCUAGAGUGUGGGAGAGGCAGGCGGAAUGCCUAGUGUAGCGGUGAAAUGCGUAGAUAUUAGGAGGAACACCGGUGGCGAAGGCGGCCUGCUGGACGAUGACUGACGUUGAGGCCCGAAAGCGUGGGGAGCAAACAGGAUUAGAUACCCGAGUAGUC
rnacentral:rRNA from 1 species